AAGGCUUACGGUGGAUACCUAGGCCCAGAGACGAGGAAGGGCGUAGUAAGCGACGAAAUGCUUCGGGAGUUGAAAAUAAGCAUAGAUCCGGAGAUUCCCGAAUAGGUUAACCUUUCAACUGCUGCUGAAUUCCAUGGCAGGCAAGAGACA
rnacentral:rRNA from 11 species